rnacentral:misc_RNA from 1 species
AAGACUAUAGACCUGCGGAGUACCUGCGGAGGGAUCAUUACCGAGUUUACAACUCCCAAACCCAAUGUGAACGUUACCAAACCGUUGCCUCGGCGGGAUCUCUGCCCCGGGUGCGUCGCAGCCCCGGACCAAGGCGCCCGCCGGAGGACCAACCCAAAACCCCUAUGCAUACCCCCUCGCGGGUUUUUAACGAUCUGAGCCUCCUCGGCGCCUCUCGUAGGCGUUUCGAAAACGAAUCAA